AUUGAACGCUGGCGGCAGGCCUAACACAUGCAAGUCGGACGGUAGCACAGAGGAGCUUGCUCUUCGGGUGACGAGUGGCGGACGGGUGAGUAAUGUCUGGGAAACUGCCCGAUGGAGGGGGAUAACUACUGGAAACGGUAGCUAAUACCGCAUAACGCCGCAAGACCAAAGUGGGGGACCUUCGGGCCUCACACCAUCGGAUGUGCCCAGAUGGGAUUAGCUGGUAGGCGGGGUAACGGCCCACCUAGGCGACGAUCCCUAGCUGGUCUGAGAGGAUGACCAGCCACACUGGAACUGAGACACGGUCCAGACUCCUACGGGAGGCAGCAGUGGGGAAUAUUGCACAAUGGGCGCAAGCCUGAUGCAGCCAUGCCGCGUGUAUGAAGAAGGCCUUCGGGUUGUAAAGUACUUUCAGCGGGGAGGAAGGUGCUGAGGUUAAUAAGCUCAGCAAUUGACGUUACCCGCAGAAGAAGCACCGGCUAACUCCGUGCCAGCCGCCGCGGUAA
rnacentral:rRNA from 1 species